GAUGAACGCUGGCGGCGUGCCUAAUACAUGCCAGUCGAGCGAACAGAUGAGGAGCUUGCUCCUCUGACGUUAGCGGCGGACGGGUGAGUAACACGUGGAUAACCUACCUAUAAGACUGGGAUAACUUCGGGAAACCGGAGCUAAUACCGGAUAAUAUAUUGAACCGCAUGGUUCAAUAGUGAAAGACGGUUUUGCUGUCACUUAUAGAUGGAUCCGCGCCGCAUUAGCUAGUUGGUAAGGUAACGGCUUACCAAGGCAACGAUGCGUAGCCGACCUGAGAGGGUGAUCGGCCACACUGGAACUGAGACACGGUCCAGACUCCUACGGGAGGCAGCAGUAGGGAAUCUUCCGCAAUGGGCGAAAGCUUGACGGAGCAACGCCGCGUGAGUGAUGAAGGUCUUCGGAUCGUAAAACGCUGUUAUUAGGGAAGAACAAAUGUGUAAGUAACUAUGCACGUCUUGACGGUACCUAAGCAGAAAGCCACGGCUAACUACGU
rnacentral:rRNA from 1 species